rnacentral:rRNA from 1 species
AGUGAACGCUGGCGGUAGGCCUAACACAUGCAAGUCGAACGGCAGCACAGUAAGAGCUUGCUCUUACGGGUGGCGAGUGGCGGACGGGUGAGGAAUACAUCGGAAUCUACUUUUUCGUGGGGGAUAACGUAGGGAAACUUACGCUAAUACCGCAUACGACCUACGGGUGAAAGCAGGGGAUCUUCGGACCUUGCGCGAUUGGAUGAGCCGAUGUCGGAUUAGCUAGUUGGCGGGGUACAGGCCCACCAAGGCGACGAUCCGUAGCUGGUCUGAGAGGAUGAUCAGCCACACUGGAACUGAGACACGGUCCAGACUCCUACGGGAGGCAGCAGUGGGGAAUAUUGGACAAUGGGCGCAAGCCUGAUCCAGCCAUACCGCGUGGGUGAAGAAGGCCUUCGGGUUGUAAAGCCCUUUUGUUGGGAAAGAAAAGCAGCAGGUUAAUACCCCGCUGUUCUGACGGUACCCAAAGAAUAAGCACCGGCUAACUUCGUG